CUGCUGUAUAUAUAUAUUAGUAUAUAUAUAUAUUAUUAAGUAAAUUGGCAAAACGCCUAGCAAAUCGCCUAGAAAGGCCUAGGCUGGAUUAGGCGCGCCUAGUCCCUAGUCGGACGGUCAUCGCCUAGAUAGCGCCUAGCGCCUAGCUGAACUUUGUAUAGUAAUCAGUUUUUAUAAAGCAGGCAGCGAGCUACUAUAGUUUGUUACAUUUAUGAAAGUUAUUUGAGCUAACGAAACCACAUUGUGCUUAAGAAAUAAUUGUAACAUGGAUUUUUUUUUGCAAAUGAUUUGCAUUUUCUGCAAGUGUAAAAGUUCGUUGGUAUCGUAUUCUACUUGAACAAGCCUAUACUGGUUGAAGGCCAUCAGGAGAAACUGAAUAUCACACUCGGCAUUGGAACUGUCCCAGUGCUUCUGCAAAAGGUGUUUCUUUAUUUACUGAUGAGGUCCUUUCUGUGCUGGAGAGACUAGCGCAUUUAAAAGAGGCAAACCUCAUAAAUGUACUAUAUUAGUAUAUACUAGGGCUUUAGAAGGCUGCCAUGGCGUUCUCACUCAGCUUUCAUCCUCUGCCUGGCACCUAGAAAUUAGGUGUGUAAUGCUGGGAUAUGCUACUACACUAUUAACAACAAAUCAAAUUAUAUGCAGUUGUUUCAAUAACUCUGACGAGCUCACUGCAAUUGGUCAUCACCGUCGCCACUACAGGAUGACUAGCGAGCAGUUGAAGUGGAGAAGGCAGCACAGGCAGCGCAUACUCCAUUGAUCUCUUGUGUGAUUUUGGUAUUGGGUGGAUCUUGGCUCGAGAAAUAUGAGUCAAUUUGAUGGGACGAGCUGCAAUUUUUUGGGCUCGAGAAAUAUCGAUUGAUUGAUGAGCUCCAGCUGAAUUUUCCCAGAGAACGCUUUUGCGGCGAGGUUGAGCCAGCAGCCACGCAGGGUGACCUGAGAAAGUUGCAUAUGGAGUAGUAGAUAAGGUCGCAGACAAAGGUAAUAGGAGCACCUUUAGAGGAUGCCAGACAUCUGGACCAGAGAUAUGACAGAAUAAGGCAAGAAGGUUAAGCACAAGUGAGCAUCUUUGUCAGCUUAAACAAAGUUCCUUGCAAAGAUGUUUAGUUUAUAUUUUUAGUUCAGGCUGAGAAGCUUGCCAUGAGAUACUUGACCUAUUGGAAGAAGUAUGUAUGCUACCAGCUUAACUAUUUGAGGACAUUUAUAUAUUAGACUGCUCUGUUGGAGCGAAUUUUCUGCAAUUUGAACUUCUGAAGCAUAUAGAAUCUUUCAUUUAUCGAUUUGACGAUUAUGUUCUUAUUGAUAGAUGGUGUCUGAGCGCCAAAAAAUCGCACCCCUAACUCCAGCAGCUGAAAGUUAUAUGCCACCACCACCACUAUCAUCUUAUGAUGAAGUUAGUGGAGUGUUUGCAUCCACUUCUGUUAAUGAGUCACUCUAAUCUGUAGAUUUCCUCCUUGAAGAGGUAUGGCAUAUUUUUAAUGAAGAAUUAUCACACCUAUUGUGACAUAUUCUGAAAUUUCCGAAGACGCUACUAAGAUCAAAGUUAUUUGUUUGUC